AAACCAUUCUUCAUUUUGUCACUGGAAGCAUUUGACUCUUAAGUGCAGUUCUUGGAAGUUCUCUGUAAUUGGUGAUGCUGGAAUUUCUCAUUCCAGUUGAUUAAACAGAAACUUGGAAGGUUUUUUUUAACAAAAGAGCUUUGUUUCAGAUGCAGCCCGUUCUGAACUAGUUGAAGUUGCUGUUUCUUUUUGGCUGCAGUCUACUGACUGACUUUCCUCUCUGUGCAGGGUAUCUCAUGAUUUAGUGUCUUUUUGAUCAGGGGGGCCCAGAUCUGGAAAAUGUGCCUGUUAACCUGACUGGAGCCAGGUAGAUGAAUAGGGGCUACAUAAACGAAACUUGUGGAAUCCAGCCUGCAUUUGCACUGCGGGGGCUGCUGUCAUGUUACAGUGCCCACCCUGAUUGGCCCCUGAUUGGACAUGGCUUUGCCGGCAGAAGAAAUGUUUUGUUGCUUGACCCACAGCAGCUCCUAUGAAUGACAGAAUCACUGCUGCAGGACCUGCUUUCUACUGGCAAAGCUGUCUACACCACAGGUUUGACCAGCUGCACCACCUUAUCUACAGAGUGUGGUCAUUAUAUGGCCUUUGCCAUACUGGCAGUCUUGUCAUGUAGGCUAUGUUGUGAACCAAAGAAGGAAGCAGACAUGUGGGUGCUACAUAUUAUUAUUGGAAGAUGAGCGCUGCAGACAUGGAUUUGAGAACACAGUUCCAGCUCUUUUGGGUUUGCCAGGUGAUGGAGACCAAAGCCCUGAAGUAAGUGGGGAAGCAGAAGACUUGAAGGAAGAGCAAGCAGGAUAUGGCAACAGAGAAGGUGUUCUCAUACUUCCUGAGAAAUCAGGGCAAUCAACUAAUUACCUCAGGUACCUGUACACAAAUGCACGGAGCCUGGGAAACAAGCAGGAAGAACUGGAAGUCCUUGUACAGUCAUGGGACUAUGAUGUGAUUGGAAUAACAGAGACUUGGUGGGAGCUCGCAUGACUGGGGCACUGUCAUGGAUAGGUGCAAACUGUUCAGAAAGAACAGGCAGGGCAGAGGAGGAGGAGGAAUUGCACUUUAUGUAAUUGUCAGCCUCACCUCAGUCCCUGGAAAAAUCAUGGAGCAGAUCCUCAGGGAAUCCAGUUCUAAGCACUUGGAGGAGAAAAAGGUGAUUAGGAACAGUCAGCAUGGAUUCACCAGGAGCAAGUCAUGCCUGACCAACCUGAUUGCCUUCUAUGAUGAGAUGACUGGCUCUGUGGAUGUGGGAAGACCAGUGGAUAUGGUGUACCUUGAUUUUAGCAACACUUUUUAUACAGUCUCUCAUGACAUUCUCGCAGGCAAGUUAAGGAAGUACGGGCUGGUUGAAUGGACUGUAAGGUGGAUAGAAAACUGGCUGGAGCAUCAGGCUCAGAGAGUAGUACUUAGGACACUUAGAGCACUUAGGACAGAAUGGUCCCAUGCACCAGUACAGGCUGGGGGCUUACCAGCUGGGCAGCAGCUCUGAAGAAAAGGACUUGGAUGUUACAGUGGACAAUAAGCUGAAUGUGAGCUAGCAGUAUGCCCUUGUUGCCAAGAAGGCUAACAGCAUACUGGGCAGCAUUGGUAGGUGUGUUGCCAGUUGGUCCAGGGAAGUGGUUACUCCUCUAUUCAGCGCUGGUGAGGCCGUAUCUAAAGUACUGUGUCCAGUUUUGCACACCACCCCCUCCUCCUACAGAAAGGAUGUGGACAAAUUGGAAAGAGUCCAGCAGAAGGCAACAAAAAUGGUUCAGGGGCUGGGGCACAUGACUUCUGAGGAGAGGCAGAGGGAACUGGUCUUAUUUAAUCUAGAGAAGAGAAGACUGAGGGGGGAUUUAAUCGCAGCCUUCAACUGCCUGAAGGGAGGUUCAGGAGAGGAUGGAGCUAGACUGUUCUCAGUGGUGAAAGAUGACAGAACAAGAAGGGAUGGUCUCAAGUUGCAGCAAGGGACAUUUAGGUUAGAUAAUAGGAAGAAUUUUCUCACUAGGACAGUAGUAAAACCCUGGAACAGGUUACCCAGAGAGGUGUUGGACUCUCCAUCCUUGGAGGUUUUUAAGAGCCAGCUAGACAAAGGCUGGGAUGAUCUAGCUGGGGCUGGUCCUGCUUUGAGCAGGGGGUUGGACUAGAUGACCCUACUUUUCUAUGAUUUUAUGAUUCUAUGGUUACCCUUUAUAACAAGAGGCCAAGUGGUUCUGUGAACUGGUAAAGUGGCUCUUCACCUCUGUGCCUGGUUUCUAAUCUAGGUUGCCCUGUGAGUUUAGCAAUCAAAGGUCCAUAGCUAUUAGCAUGCAGUUUGUACUGCCCUCUCACACAACUGGCAUGAGUAGUGAUCUUUCCUCAGGGGAGACUGAAACUGGAAUAGCAAAAAAAUGUGCAGUUAAGGGCACAGCUGAUACCACAAGAGGAAACUUGCCGAGUUCUGUGUCCAGCUCUGUCUAGUUAAGAGUUGUAAAGCUCUACCUUCCAUCAUCAUCAAUAAAAAAUGUCUCUGAAUUGAUGCAUACAUUUUUGCUUAGAGAGCCAAUGCUCUUAUGCUAAUAGGAUGGAAGGUUAGAUAAAAGCUGAAACCUAUUCUAGCUUUGAAUUUCUUUGCCUGUUACUGAAAGCUGGAAUGUUAGGCCGUCUGCGAGGUUCUGAACAAAAUGAUUCUGGGCAACAAAGGCAGCAUUAUGGAGCUUAGCACCUCUGAUUUUACAGAUCUACAUUAAAAUUUCAAUCUGCACAAAAAAGAAUUCAGGGACCUGGGAGUGCAGUGCUUACAUGGUUGCCAUGUAAAUGAACUGCAGGCUGCAAGUACGCUAAUGCCAUUGCAGAGUCUUCAGCAAAAGUAGGUUAACAGAAUAAAGAAAAGGAAAUCUGCUCCUUGGGCUCAGUUGUCUUCUGGGCUUGUACAAGUGAAGGGACUCUGAUGCUAGUUGUAUGGCUGAUGUUGCCUCGUGCAGUGUUCCUCUUCAGGCUAGAAUACAUUCAAGGUGUAGGAUUAAGCUUUGGAUGGAAAAGGGAAUUUGUGACCUUCCCUCCUUUUCUAGUAUCCUGUUCAUGUCCCCCUCAGUGUUUAAUGCACUGGCCCACCUUGUUCUCUCCUUUAUUAUACAUGGUUGUACCUCUGCCUUCAGGAUAGAUGGAGGUAUGAAACUGAGCUCUUCUAAUUUAUAUAUGGUGAGAUUAGACCAGGUCAUCACACCUGGGGUGAUAAAGUGCUGAUAAACCAGCCAACCACUUGAUUUUCCAGAGAAUGUUUGGAGAGAGUUUCUGUUCUUCCCGAGAUGCAGUGACCUCUGAUGAGAAUAUUGCUGUCCCACUGUAGCCCCUUUUGACUUGAAGAGUCAAGUGACAAAUCCAUCUUUGUGGAUGUGCACUGGAUAUUUUACAGCAAUACCUGGCAAAUAUUGAACAGGAGUAUAAACAUCAGGAAUAGAGGUGGGAAGGACCUUAGUAUCAGGGUGGGCAGGAGGCAGGACCACCAGAAGGGAAUGGUUUGUGGUAUUUGCACCAGAGAUGGGAGGAAAGAAUACGCAGAAAAUGUGCAGGUGCUGUAUUGCAUCAAGGAGGGGUGUCCAAAUGGACUGGGGAAAGCAACUCAGAGUUGGGGAGGAGUGGGAGGACAUGUUUGCCACCAAUGGAGAUUGUACUCUGGAGCACUGUUGCUUGUUACUUUCCAGAGUGCACAUACAUAUCAUGAAAGCUCCGGGCAGGAACAGUGGAGUACCAGCACCCUCAGGAUGCAGUCAUUUUAGCUUCUGGAUUCUACCUUCACACUGAUAUUUUAAUUUUGGAUAGAACUGCCUGCAAAUUAUUGGUAUUUGUGUCUUAAAUGCAGCUGAAUAAAACUUUUGGACCAUCCAUAGUGGAAGCCAUCAUGUGAGUGCUUCUGGCUAGGGACAGAAGUUACACAUAAACUCAUUUAAGUGAUAAGAAACUGGUUUAAACCUGUAACAGAACAGAAGUUCAGUGCACAUAAACCAGCUUCAAAAUGGCUGAAACUAGUUUAUGAUAAACCUGGUUGACUGUAGUAUCAGACUUAACUGAUUUGGGUCAAACCGGUUUAUGGAACUUCUGUCCCAGACCCCUUCCUGGUUUA